rnacentral:rRNA from 1 species
UACAGGGACCGAUCCACGUUUGUUCGGAUUCACUGGGCGUAAAGGGUGCGUAGGUGGUUAGGUAAGUCCGAUGUGAAAUCUCCAGGCUCAACCUGGAAAUGGCAUUGGAUACUAUUUAGCUUGAGGAGUGGAGGGGGGACUGGAAUUCUCGGUGUAGCAGUGAAAUGCGUAGAUAUCGAGAGGAACACCAGUGGCGAAGGCGAGUCCCUGGACACUUCCUGACACUGAGGCACGAAAGCUAGGGGAGCAAACAGG